GCAACCCUCUGGGCUCCUUCUGCCAAGGCACCACAGAGUGCACUUGCUCAUGUCAUGUGCCUCUCUGAGCAGACGCCUGGGACACCUGGCUCUGUCUUCCUACAGCUGCUCGCACUGACCUGUGGGAACCUGUGGGUCAUCCCCAGGCUGGAUGGAGUACACACUAGAAGAGGGAUAGUGCCUGGCAUUGGGGCAGCAUCUGCUCAGCACACGGAAAGGGGCCUGGUUCCCUCUCCCCUGGUAGGAGUUGGUCCAGCCUCCUCCCAGACCCAGCUGGAGGCUGAGAGGAGGUGGUGAAUGCUAAUGAGGAUGAAAAGACAUGGGGUGAAAGGAAGGGACAAGACCCACUUCCAAAGAAGAUUACCA
rnacentral:lncRNA from 1 species